rnacentral:rRNA from 1 species
UACGUAGGGCGCAGGCGUUAUCCGGAAUUAUUGGGCGUAAAGGGCUCGUAGGCGGCCAACUAAGUCAGACGUGAAAUCCCUAGGCUCAACCUAGGAACUGCGUCUGAUACUGGAUGGCUUGAAUCCGGGAGAGGGAUGCAGAAUUCCAGGCGUAGCGGUGAAAUGCGUAGAGAUGUGGAGGAACACCAAUGGCGAAGGCAGCCUUCUGGGCCAACACUGACGCUCAUGCACGAAAGCGUGGGGAGCAAACAGG